rnacentral:rRNA from 1 species
ACAACUUUCAGCAAUGGAUCUCUUGGCUCUUGCAUCGAUGAAGAACGCAGCGAAAUGCGAUAAGUAAUGUGAAUUGCAGACCCCCAGUGAAUCAUCGAAUCUUUGAACGCACCUUGCGCUCCUUAGUAUUCUGAGGAGCAUGCCUGUUUGAGUGUCA